GUAUGCUCUCAUCUUGUUUAAACCCUCAAUAUAAUGUUUGCUCCUUAAAAAAAAAAAAAAAGACUCCUGCUCAGCCUCCCGGGCUCAGUGCAGGCCUCGUGGCUUCAGGAAGCUUCCCUCCUGCUGCACCAUUCUCAUCGCACUCACGACAGGGGUUCUAAGUGCCUGUCUGUCUCUGCACUUCGCCAUGCACACCCCGAUGCCAGGUGCUGCCUCCCCCUCUGCAUUGCCCACCACACCUGGCAGGCACCCUGUGUAUUCAAGCGGGCAGAAGUGGGUGGGGAGGGGGUUCAGGGUCUCUGUGGAUCUGGCGCCGCGGAAUUGCUCUUUCAAAGUGCAAGUCCUUUCACACACAAGGGGCACCAUCACUGCUAUGGGAGAUGGUGAUGACUUUAGGGUCAUUAUUAAAAUGAAAGUAGAAAUCAUCCGCAGGUCCACCCUGGGCAGGCGGGCAGUUUUCGUGGAAGAUAAAACCAUUGGUUAAGGGUGACAUUUCUCACUUGACAUGAGAAAUGAAUAUAUGAAGCAAGGGUGGUGUAAUUACACUCUAAUUUCACUCUUUCUAGAGUUUGAGCAGCCACUAGAUGUAAGUGCCAAGGGGACCACACCAUCUGUUCAUGUGAUCAGAUCCCUACAUGGUUUGUCACCUGCAAUUUUCAACUGUGGGACCCAGUCCAUGCGUGCUCUGCUGAGGGCUGGGGCAGGGCCAGGUCUGCUGUGCUAGGUGCCCUGUGGGAUGGUGCAUCUUCUGGGAGGUGCUGUGUCCACCAUGGAGGGUGCUGGCGCUGCCCCAAGACAGCAUCCUUGGUUAGCAACCAGAGCCCUGCCGGCCAGCUCUGCCCGCUUCACCAGCCUCAUGCCCUCAGUGAAGGCUUGGGGGAUUCCCCUCAGCCUUCCAGGGAUGCUCCAUGGAACAAAGUCAGGGGAGAGUCCUUCCCCACCAUCUCCCCACCAAUGCUUUCCUAGGUGAUUUUUCUUUUAGGUGGCAUUUCCCUGGAAGUCUUCUUUAUGUCAAGACUUGAACUGCUGCUUAUUGAAGCCAUCCUACAAAGAUAAUCUCCUGUUUCCAGGAGUCAGAGAGCCAAAGCUGGAGGCCCAGAAAGAGAAGGCCAUGCACAUAGCAGCAGCACAAAUCUGCGGGCCACUGUGACCCCGGCUCUGUCCCAGGCUUUGUGAGUCUUUCUGCUCCUGGAGCAGCUGCUUACCAACAUCUGUCUGCAGGAGCAUCAUUUGGGACUUUAUUAAUCUGUUGCUGCCAGGUAUCCUCCCUAGAUUUGCGCUGUUUGGGGCCUAGCCACUCCCCCCCCACCCCCACCCCCCCACCAAGGGGACUCUGAUGCCGAUCUCUUGAGGACCCAUUGGAUAGAGAGAAUGAACUGGAAUAUAGAGGGUGAGUACUGAAACUGUGGUCCACUGACCAGCACUGCCUCACCUGGAGUGUGUUAAAAAGUGCAAUAUCAGGCCACCUAGGUCUACUGAAUCAGGAUCUUCAUCCAAAUAGGAACCUUGGGCAAUACUAUGCACCAAAAGAAUUUAAGGCACACCAACCCAACCAUGGGGGAGGCGGAAUUGAGAUAAAGGCAAAGGAGCCCUAUAAGACUCAGAAAGAAACCCAAGUCACCCUGGGGAGUGUUGGAGGUAUUUGGAGGCACAAAGUGUUCGCUCCCAGGUUGUGAAUUCUCAGUCUAGGAGACAGGCAAAAGGGGUGCCUUUGUCAUGUGACCCACCUGAAUGAGCCGGGAGUGGUGUUCCCUCCAAAGUGCUGGAUACUCAUUGUCGAGCACAAACACAGCCCAAAGCCUUUGGCUUUGAAAUGGGUGACAUUCUCAAGUGGCAUGAAAAGGAAAAGACAGGCUGAUUUUGCUUUUCAUUCCAAACUCACUUGCUUAUUUAGGAUCGAUGUUGACCUUUACAUCAUAAGGUCUAAGCUUGUUUGGCUGAGACCCAUCCCUAGCCCCAUGGCAAAACUGAGCCUCUGCACCAGAUGUUCACUUACCCAGAGCUUUUGGUGAGUUUAUUUGUUAUAAGAUUUGGGAUAAUUCAUAGAGCUUAUUUUUCUCACUGGCCCUUUUCCAUCCAUCUCUUCCUAGCCAUCCCCAUUCCACCACCAAACAAAACAAGAACUGUUGGAUCAAUUUGGGAAUCGCCUUCUGCAGCUUCCUUCUACCUGUGGGAUUUCAUUCUGUGGACACCUGCUUCCAAAUAAAUACCUGUGCUUCCCUAAGAGAACUUUUGAUAAAUAAUGUCUCCUCCACCUGUGCAAUGGGAUGCCCAGUUCUUGUUAAGGCUGAAGGUAGAUUCUCCGUGGGGAAUUCUGAAAUGCAGGAGACACACACAGAGAACAAAAAAGCAGGAGGGACAACUCUGACCACUCCACUCCCAUAUUGCACUCCGCGAAAGCUGAGGCCCGCAUGGACCCAAGGAGAGGAGUCAUUUUUUCCGCAUGCCCUGGCACAUGAGGACCCAGAAGCUACAGGAAAGGGCAACAAAUUAUACUCAGCCCACCUACUCAGGACACACUGACCUGGCUGGUGUGGAGAAGUUCUGCCCCCUACCCCUGCACCCAAGGAUGGGUAUAAAGACAGCUAAAUAUGUGUGUGAUGACUGGACCUGGGCAGCCAUGUUGGACCAGAAAGUGAUUAUGUGAAAUGAGACCGUGUAAAGCAAGAGAAGAGUUCUGGGUGCAUGAGGACCUUGUGGAGUUGUGGAGCCACACCUCCAGUUCUACACUAUCUAUUCGCAGGGUUUUAUAAGAAAGAGAAAUAUUUUUCUA